GUACAGCUGAAGAGUCCCAAAUAGGACGAGAUGCGCGUUCUGGAU
rfam:Schistosoma haematobium scaffold444_4, whole genome shotgun sequence.